UACGUAGGGUGCAAGCGUUAAUCGGAAUUACUGGGCGUAAAGCGUGCGCAGGCGGUUCUAUAAGACAGAUGUGAAAUCCCCGGGCUCAACCCUGGGAACUGCAUUUGUGACUGUAGAGCUGGAGUACGGCAGAGGGGGAUGGAAUUCCGCGUGUAGCAGUGAAAUGCGUAGAUAUGCGGAGGAACACCGAUGGCGAAGGCAAUCCCCUGGGCCUGUACUGACGCUCAUGCACGAAAGCGUGGGGAGCAAACAGG
rnacentral:rRNA from 1 species